rnacentral:rRNA from 1 species
UGGGGGAUAUUGCGCAAUGGGGGCAACCUUGACGCAGCAACGCCGCGUGAAGGAUGAAGGUUUUCGGAUUGUAAACUUCUUUUAUUAAGGACGAAACUUGACGGUACUUAAUGAAUAAGCUCCGGCUAACUACGUGCCAGCAGCCGCGGUAAUACGUAGGGAGCAAGCGUUGUCCGGAUUUACUGGGUGUAAAGGGUGCGUAGGCGGCUUUGCAAGUCAGAUGUGAAAUCUAUGGGCUCAACCCAUAAACUGCAUUUGAAACUGUAGAGCUUGAGUGAAGUAGAGGCAGGCGGAAUUCCCCGUGUAGCGGUGAAAUGCGUAGAGAUGGGGAGGAACACCAGUGGCGAAGGCGGCCUGCUGGGCUUUAACUGACGCUGAGGCACGAAAGCGUGGGUAGCAAACAGGAUUAGAUACCCUGGUAGUCCACGCUGUAAACGAUGAUUACUAGGUGUGGGGGGUCUGACCCCUUCCGUGCCGGAGUUAACACAAUAAGUAAUCCACCUGGGGAGUACGGCCGCAAGGUUGAAACUCAAAGGAAUUGACGGGGGCCCGCACAAGCAGUGGAGUAUGUGGUUUAAUUCGAAGCAACGCGAAGAACCUUACCAGGUCUUGACAUCCAACUAACGAAGUAGAGAUACAUUAGGUGCCCUUCGGGGAAAGUUGAGACAGGUGGUGCAUGGUUGUCGUCAGCUCGUGUCGUGAGAUGUUGGGUUAAGUCCCGCAACGAGCGCAACCCUUGCUAUUAGUUGCUACGCAAGAGCACUCUAAUAGGACUGCCGUUGACAAAACGGAGGAAGGUGGGGACGACGUCAAAUCAUCAUGCCCCUUAUGACCUGGGCUACACACGUACUACAAUGGAUGUUAACAGAGGGAAGCAAGACAGCGAUGUGGAGCAAACCCCUAAAAACAUUCUCAGUUCAGAUUGCAGGCUGCAACCCGCCUGCAUGAAGAUGGAAUUGCUAGUAAUCGCGGAUCAGCAUGCCGCGGUGAAUACGUUCCC